GUCCUGAGAGCCAACUGCAACUGCGAAAGGAGCGUGGAGGUGAAGGAGGAGGUGGAGAAGGACCACUUCGUGCACCAGGGUGGCAUAGCUGAGGCAUGGAGAAGUGGUGUAACUUGCCCAAGGUCACAGAAGUGGGAGCAGAGCACAGAUUUGAAUCCAUACCCUCUGCCCAGAGCCUGAAGCCUUAACCACUUGACAGCCCUGCCUGCUGGGACUGAGGAAAACCAAAGCAGAGGAUUCCUCUGGGAAUAUACUAUGCAGUUCCUGCUGAGAAAGGGAUGUUUCAUUGGCCUGGCAACCUGGGGCUCUCCUGCAG